GGGCUUACUUUGGCAGCACAUAUUACUAAAAUUGGAACAAUAUAGAGAUUAGCAUGGCCCCUGUGCAAGGAUGACACAGAAAUUAAUGUAUAGUCUCAAUAGUUU
ensembl:snRNA U6 U6 spliceosomal RNA